ACCCAGGAACGCGAGAUCUGACCUGAGCCGAAGUCGGAGCCUCAACCCACUGAGCCACCCAGGUGCCCCUCUAAUUUGCCCCUUUUAAAGGACACCAGUAUAUUGAAUUAAGACCAAUACUAAACACCUCACCUUAACUAAACUAGUUAUAUUUACAAUGACCUAAUUUCCAAAUUAGAUCACCUUCUGCAGUCCAAGAGGUUAGGAUGUUAUGCUUUUUAUUCGGUUGGGUUUUUUUGUUUUGUUUUGUUUUGUUUUGUUUUACAGGUAGUUGGAGAAGAAGACACAGGUGAACCCACAAUCUCCCACCUCGCGCUGUCAGUCAGCUGCAGCUUUCCAGAUAAGGCUAUACAGUAGCCAGACUGCUUUCCAUUGCCUGCAAAACUUACCAAGAUGCAACAAGCUGAACCCAUCAUUCAAACUACCCAUUUGAUUAAAAAAAAAAGCGUGGGCAUCCAAAAUGUCCUCUGAAAGAAUGACCUGUAAGCAGGGAGAAGCUGUUAACCCGGAGACUUCAUAUUAAAUAGGAAUGGAGGCAGCAGAGCCAAUUACAGGUCCAUGUCUGCUUGUCGCGGAGACUUCAAACUAGAAGGUUUUUAAAAAUCUGCCACUAAACAUUUUCUGUACAGUAAAACUGGAAAAAAAAUGUGAUAGGCCCUAUAUAUAAAAGAACAUCCGUUCUGCCUGCCCAAGUAAUCGUUCACUUCCUCUUACCAGAUUCCAGGCACAGGAUAAUUGCCUCUCGGAGGUGCUUUGUUUUAGGUGUUCUAAAUAACUCACUGUCGGUGGCCCCUCUUAAGAGCAGCACCCCCUAGGAACCCGCCACCGAGCCUCGAAACUGUAAUUUGUUUCAGACACUCUGAACAAAAUACAUUCUCUCUCGAUCCUUAAUAAUUAGGUGUGUUUAGUUAGAGUUAAAAUAAGGUGGAAAGUUAUCCAGGUGCAAGUUAUUAACCUGAAGUGAUGGCAGAACAGAAAGCAAACACAUUCUUGGUGCACGUCACAUGUUCCAGACGCGUUGUUGAGUGCUUUAUCUAACACACCUCUUACUUCUUCCCAAUGAUCCACUUAGGUACGUAUUUUGUGGAUGCUGAGAGAGAAGGGAAAUGACUUAUACACCAAAGAAAUGGUACAAGUGGGAUUCAAACCCACAUUUGUUUGACUCCAAAGCUUACAUUUCUUCCACUCAUUUCCAGCAGUUGAGGCAUAGGAAGAGAAUGGGCAGAGGAUACCAAUUUAAUUUCUUAACCCAUCAGCAAGGCGCUUCACAUUCUGGUCCCUGGUGUCUUUAGAUCAGAAUUCUGUCUCUGCUGCAUCUCACCCUGCUCCCUGAUCAUAAACCUUUUAUGGGCAUUCUCAUACCCAUUCUUUUGGGGAUGCUGUUCUUGCCCAGAAUGUCCAUUUCCGCUCUUCUCCAUCAGCAAGGUUCUUACCUGGGUGCACUGACACUCUCCGAGGAGAUGUGGGAAAGAGUGUACGGCAUUUAUGGUUGUCAUGAUGGGCAUGCAACUGGGAACAGCGCCCGGAAGCUGGAGCUCCUUAGCAGUCUGCAAGGUCGCGCUUCAUGGCCAGCCCCGGACAGCGGAGAGCUGCUCCGAAAAAUGUCCAUUGAGCCCCACUGCAAGCAGGGACCCUGAAUCUCACUCAUCUCUCCAGCACCACCUCCAUGAAGUGUUCAAUGUCCCACACCCUUGGACCCGAAAUGAUGUGCCCGCCUCAGGAAUUCAGAAAUACUUCUUAUGUAUUAGCCUGUGUGGUUAGUGCUAAUGAGUUUGAAUAUAAUUAUUAGUUAUCUUCUCUUAUUGUUUUGUGCUGCUUUAAUCACAAUCAAAACAGCAAAUAUUUAUGUAGCUUAUAAUAGUGUGUAUUUGCCAGCCAUUCUUUGAAGUGCCUUAUGCAUAUAUUAACUCAUUUAAUCCUCUCAGUAACACUACAGAAUAUUUUUUCUCAUUUUAUAGACAGAAAAACUGAGAAACAGAGAGAUUACUUAAUCUGCAGAGUCACAUGGUUAACAAGAAUUGAGAGCUAUGAUUCAAACCCAGAGAUUUUGGCUCCAGAGUCUGAUUCUCUUAACUUCCAGAUUUGACAGCCUUUCCAGAAGAACAUGUCUUGAGUGCCUACUAUAGAUCAAACACAAAAAUGAAACUUUAGUUUUUAGAAAAUAUCCAUAAAAUUCUACAGUAACAUACAGUACAUCCAAAGAUGGAUACUUAACCCAGCUACAGGAGAUAAGGAAGGCCUCCCAAAAGGAUGGACCAAACUCUGGAACAUCAAGUUCAAGGACUUCUGGUACCAUGUUGGAUAAAAGUGCUGAGAAUAAAUAUCCAUGUCCAUCUCCUGAUUUUCAAGGAUCAUGACAAACUCAUUCCUUCAUCUUCAAUGGGAUGGGAACCCGUCUUUGUCUGAUGUGGAAACACUUCUGAUAAUGUUUUUAAAGGCUACCAAAAAUGUGUCUAGGAGACUGGUGACUUCACAGAUCAUCUUGUAUCUCUAGCUCGGCCCCUACAGAUGUGACUCUUCUGUGUAAUUUCUAAGGACACUACUUCUUUUGUUAGUUGCUCACAAAAUUACAACAGUAGUUAAAAAAAAAAAAAAAGGAAAAAAGAAAGAAAACUUUACUUUGGUCUGGACCAAAAUUCAAGAAAAUUUGUUGAAAAUGUAUAGCGUUAGAAAGAUUCUGUCCCUAGAAAACAUUUUUAUUAGUGCUAAAUGAAAAAUCAACUUUAUAUCUCUGACCUUUGAGAUGGGUUUGUACUGCCAAGAAUGCUGUUUAGUACUUCAGAUGGGAGACAACUUAGAGGACCAGUAAGUCCAUAAGAAAUGUUAUCUGAUACAUAUACAUAUGCAUAUAAGAAACAUAUUUCUGCCUAUAAAAUAUUGGAAGUCUGAAUGGUUUUAGCUAUGUAUUCUCUUUGCAUAUUGCAUUUGCAAAUAACUUUGCCAUAAGGAACAUGAAUUGGCUUAUCUACAUAGUGACUUAUAAUAAAAGGAGAGAACAUCU